rnacentral:rRNA from 1 species
GUAGGUGGCAAGCGUUGUCCGGAAUUAUUGGGCGUAAAGCGCGCGCAGGCGGUCCUUUAAGUCUGAUGUGAAAGCCCACGGGCUCAACCGUGGAGCGUCAUUGGAAACUGGGGGACUUGAGUACAGAAGAGGAAAGCGGAAUUCCAAGUGUAGCGGUGAAAUGCGUAGAGAUUUGGAGGAACACCAGUGGCGAAGGCGGCUUUCUGGUCUGUAACUGACGCUGAGGCGCGAAAGCGUGGGGAGCAAACAGGAUUAGAUACCCUGGUAGUCCACGCCGUAAACGAUGAGUGCUAAGUGUUAGGGGGUUUCCGCCCCUUAGUGCUGCAGCUAACGCAUUAAGCACUCCGCCUGGGGAGUACGGCCGCAAAGGCUG